UUGUAGCCUUCCAGCGUGCUUGGGUCUGGGGGGACUCCCUGCCUUCCUGCAGUGCUUGCCAGAGUGUUCUGAAAUGGUUGGAGGGCUCGCCCCAUCCCUUCCUCAGAGCAUGGGCAUAGACAUUUCAGACAGUU